GCCAGGCACAGUGGUGCAUGCCUAUAAUUCCAGCAGCUCAGGAGGCUGAGGCAGGAGGAUCUCAAGUUCAAGGCUACCUUCAGCAAUUUAGCAAGGCCCUAAAUAACCAGUGAGACCCUGUCUCUA
rnacentral:sRNA from 1 species